UACGUAGGGGGCGAGCGUUGUCCGGAUUUAUUGGGCGUAAAGCGCGUGUAGGCGGUUCGGUAAGUCCGCUGUGAAAUCCUGGAGCUCAACUCCAGAACUGCCUUUGAUACUGGCGACCUUGAGUCCGGGAGAGGUGAGUGGAACUGCGAGUGUAGAGGUGAAAAUUCGUAGAUAUUCGCAAGAACACCAGUGGCGAAGGCGGCUCACUGGCCCGGUACUGACGCUGAGGUGCGAAAGCGUGGGGAGCAAACAGGG
rnacentral:rRNA from 1 species